rnacentral:rRNA from 1 species
ACGAACGCUGGCGGCGUGCCUAAUACAUGCAAGUCGAACGGUCUUUCUAUGGAAGCUUGCUUCCACUGAGAAGAUAGUGGCGAACGGGUGAGUAACACGUGGGUAACCUGCCCAUAAGAGGGGGAUAACAUCCGGAAACGGGUGCUAAUACCGCAUAGUUUUCCUGAUCGCAUGAUUGAGAAAGGAAAGACGGCCUUUGUGCUGUCGCUUAUGGAUGGACCCGCGGCGUAUUAGUUAGUUGGUGAGGUAAUGGCUCACCAAGACGAUGAUACGUAGCCGACCUGAGAGGGUGAUCGGCCACAUUGGGACUGAGACACGGCCCAAACUCCUACGGGAGGCAGCAGUAGGGAAUCUUCCGCAAUGGACGAAAGUCUGACGGAGCAACGCCGCGUGAGUGAAAGAAGGUUUUCGGAUCGUAAAACUCUGUUGUCAGAGAAGAACAAGUUGGAGAGUAACUGCUCCAGCCUUGACGGUAUCUGACCAGAAAGCCACGGCUAACUACGUGCCAGCCGCCGC